AAAAAGACAAACCCUGUGUUUCCGUGUCCAACUUUGACUGUCCGUCUCAUAUGAAAUUUUUUUAUAAUUCGUAUUUUCGUUGUUGUUAGAUGAUAAAAUAUGAUUAAUAUUUUAUGCGUGACUUGUCUUUUUAUUUUUUUUAAUAUUUUUUUCAAAUAAGAUGGACGGUCAAACGUUGGGCACGAAAAGC
rnacentral:pre_miRNA from 1 species